GAUGAACGCUGGCGGCGUGCCUAAUACAUGCAAGUCGAGCGAACAGACGAGGAGCUUGCUCCUCUGCCGUUAGCGGCGGACGGGUGAGUAACACGUGGAUAACCUACCUAUAAGACUGGGAUAACUUCGGGAAACCGGAUCUAAUACCGGAUAAUAUAUUGAACCGCAUGGUUCAAUAGUGAAAGACGGUUUUGCUGUCACUUAUAGAUGGAUCCGCGCCGCAUUAGCUAGUUGGUAAGGUAACGGCUUACCAAGGCAACGAUGCGUAGCCGACCUGAGAGGGUGAUCGGCCACACUGGAACUGAGACACGGUCCAGACUCCUACGGGAGGCAGCAGUAGGGAAUCUUCCGCAAUGGGCGAAAGCUUGACGGAGCAACGCCGCGUGAGUGAAGAAGGUCUUCGGAUCGUAAAACUCUGUUAUUAGGGAAGAACAAAUGUGUAAGUAACUAUGCACGUCUUGACGGUACCUAAUCAGAAAGCCACGGCUAACUACGUG
rnacentral:rRNA from 1 species